rnacentral:lncRNA from 1 species
GAAAAGCCUGGUGCGUCCAGCUGGAGUCCAGUUUUCUCCUAAGAUCUUGAACUUCAGUGUGAGAACUUGGCUUUACUUUGGUCACUGAAAAUCAAUCCAGUUGACUUUAGAGAGGCUUUGACCCAGGAGAGAAAAGGAUAGGGUUCUUUUGCUGGCCUAAACCAGGCUCUCAGGAGACAGAGAGCAAAAAUGAGAAAAGUGAAGAGCAAGAUUUUAUGUCCCCAGGGAUGACAUAGCAAAAAUAGAAGAAGGAC